rnacentral:rRNA from 1 species
GACGAACGCUGGCGGCGUGCUUAACACAUGCAAGUCGAACGGAAAGGCCCUGCUUUUGUGGGGUGCUCGAGUGGCGAACGGGUGAGUAACACGUGAGUAACCUGCCCUUGACUUUGGGAUAACUUCAGGAAACUGGGGCUAAUACCGGAUAGGAGCUCCUGCUGCAUGGUGGGGGGUGGAAAGUUUCGGCGGUUGGGGAUGGACUCGCGGCUUAUCAGCUUGUUGGUGGGGUAGUGGCUUACCAAGGCUUUGACGGGUAGCCGGCCUGAGAGGGUGACCGGCCACAUUGGGACUGAGAUACGGCCCAGACUCCUACGGGAGGCAGCAGUGGGGAAUAUUGCACAAUGGGCGGAAGCCUGAUGCAGCAACGCCGCGUGCGGGAUGCCGGCCUUCGGGUUGUAAACCGCUUUCGCCUGUGACGAAGCGUGAGUGACGGUAAUGGGUAAAGAAGCACCGGCUAACUACGUG